rnacentral:rRNA from 1 species
GACGAACGCUGGCGGCGUGCUUAACACAUGCAAGUCGAACGGAAAGGCCCUGCUUUUGUGGGGUGCCCGAGUGCCGAACGGGUGAGUAACACGUGAGUAACCUCCCCUUGACUUUGGGAUAACUUCAGGAAACUGGGGCUAAUACCGGAUAGGAGCUCCUGCUGAAUGGUGGGGGUUGGAAAGUUUCGGCGGUUGGGGAUGGACUCGCGGCUUAUCAGCUUGUUGGUGGGGUAGUGGCUUACCAAGGCUUUGACGGGUAGCCGGCCUGAGAGGGUGACCGGCCACAUUGGGACUGAGAUACGGCCCAGACUCCUACGGGAGGCAGCAGUGGGGAAUAUUGCACAAUGGGCUGAAGCCUGAUGCAGCAACGCCGCGUGCGGGAUGACGGCCUUCGGGUUGUAAACCGCUUUCGCCUGUGACGAAGCGUGAGUGACGGUAAUGGGUAAAGAAGCACCGGCUAACUACGUG